rnacentral:misc_RNA from 1 species
AAGUCGUAACAAGGUUUCCGUAGGUGAACCUGCGGAAGGAUCAUUAACACUUUAUAUUAUCCAAUAUUAAAAACCAAACGUGAAUUUAUCGAAUCCCUUUUCAUAUACCGGAGACGGUUUAAGAUUAGGCUAACAUUUUUUAAAUCUUUUUUAAACCCCAUUUAAUUUAUAUAUUAUAGCAAUAUAGGAUAUAAAAAAAUCAACUCUUCGAUUUUAUUAAUUCUAAUUAUAUUUAUUUAUAUGCGAAUCUCUAAAAACGAACUAAACUAAAAUAUACAUUGUAUAUUUUUAUUUUACGAAAUAAUAUAUAUAUAUUUAAGAACAACUCUUAACAAUGGAUAUCUUGGUUCUC